rnacentral:lncRNA from 1 species
GGAGGUGGUGUAUCGGUUGCUAAGUCGCAGCAUCCUUGGAAGGCUGUAGUUGGGUAGUGAACGUCGUCUCCAUCCACCAAUUGAGUUAUCCCAUGCCCUCUCAUCGAAAGAUCAGGAAUCAACCCUAGCGGGUUCUUAUCACUUGGCUCUCCUCUCCAAAGUGCAGGGGGCUUAAUAUCAUCUUCACCGAAACCCUGAAGCACAUGGACUUCAAAUUUUGACCGCCUCUAGCCCUACGAAGACCCC